CCCUAGCCUGACACCUUCCUCUGUGAGGACCUCUGGUCCCUCUCCAUCCUCUGUGAGGACCCCUAGCUUGACACCUUCCUCUGGUCCCUCUUCAUCCUCUGUGAGGACCCCUAGCUUGACACCUUCCUCUGGUCCCUCUCCAUCCUCUGUGAGAACCCCUAGCCUGGCACCUUCCUCUGUGAGGACUUCUGGUCCCUCUUCAUCCUCUGUGAGGACCCCUAGCCUGGCUUCAUCUUCCACAACACCGACACACAUCUGCCAGACAGUUUCACCUGAGGAGCCUGUAGCAUGUGUGCUACAGUCAGAUGCAGGUGGUGAUGCAGGACCUGGCUGGUUGCCGAGUGAGAUGAGGAAGACCAUUCCUGUACAGGACCAGAGAUGGAUUGGAAAUACUCUCUUUCAUGCCGGCAAAGUGAACCCAGAUUUGAAGUUGUGGUAUGAGCCUCCUUUACCAGCCCUCAUCUACCACCUGGUACCAACACCGAUCGUUUUUUACCCACCGGCUUCUGGUGUGGAUCCCCAUCAUCAGUGGAAAAUUAGGGCGUUCUGCCAAGCUUGUGGGAAGCAUCUUAGGUGGGCUGGUAUUCACAAGAGGGCUCGGAAGGUUCUGGACAUUGAUAGGUAUUACCUGCUGGUGACAGAGACACUCAGGUGCAAUUGCAUAAUAAAAGAGUUAAAAAGCAGGAGACUGUUGUGGUGCCACAAGGAUUAAACCUUCCCAGCCGUUUUCUGAUGAUGGCUCCAAUGGCCUCUCAGGUGCCUGUUCUCAACAGUGCCAAUUUUUCUGGACCUGCUACUCUGGCUCCUGCUCUGGGUCCAUUACAUCCUCCUACUCUGGCUCCCACUAAAGGACCCUGAAAACUGACCCACUGCACCACACAUGCAAAACAUGUGGGCAGUUUAGAAUUGCUGAGACAGGACACAGAGGACAUAUUUACUGUCCCUCCAAUGAAAACAUGACAAAAAAGCUGUGGCUAGAACAAAUAAAGAAGCAAAAAUAAAUAUGAAUCUGUUUCUCUUUGUCUUGUUUUAAAAAAGAAAGCUUUUACAAACAGUUUUAUCGUGUACAGUUACUCCUGUUUCCUGGUUCUCACUGUUUUUUUAAAUUGUUGAAUAAUAAAUAUUUGGUUCUUUAAAACA